GUGUGCAAUCCUUCACUCUUAAAAGACUGCUCAAAAUUCAUAAAUUCCAUCUAACACCAGAAAUAACAGACUUUACUCCAACUAAUCUGGAUUCACAGAAUUUCUAUAAUCACAGACUUCCUCUGUCCAAAACUUACACAACUCUCAAUAAACAACAAUCAUAAUCUUCCAUCCAUAAUCAAUCUUUCAAUAACUUCUCAUAUAAUUCAAUCACAUAAUACUCUAAUUACAUAAUCAAUAACUCAUAAAUCAAUCUCUGAUUUAUUCCACAAACUCACUUCUCAAUAUUCAAAAACUAUCCAUUACUCUUCAACAACAAAGAAAACAAAGAAAACAAAGAGGUAAUACCAAGCUUAACCCCGGCUCAUGACUAUCACAAUCUGGCCCACUAACAAACUUCUACAACUCCUAUAUAAUUGCUAUUGAUUUCCAGAUCCUAAUUGUAAUCCUAUAAUAACCACUUUUAAUAAUUAAAUCAACCAUCCAUCCUCCUGAACUGACUAUUCUAUAGACUAUUAAUCUAUUUUACCAAUAUCUUACAAAAACAAAUAAAUAUCUAUUCUACAUAGCCCCACUCCUAUCUCUACAGUGUCCUUGCAAACAAACAAUUGAUUCAUAUCUAAAAACUACUUAACAAAACUCUACAAAGUUACUAGUUCUUCUGGUCCACCCAAUUCAUCAUUUGCUGCAUUAUCUAAUGUGAGUUCUACCGAUUUUGGUUCUAAAUUCAAAUCUUCCUCCUCCUCCAAUCCGCUAAUCGACUCCUUUCUCAAUUGGUUUGAGAGAUCUUCAUUAUACUCUCCUAAUUCAAGGACUUGAGCUUACAGUUUCAAAAUCUGGACAUCUCGAAGUUCCAAUUGAUGCUGCUGCUGACUCAUCUAUUCUGGAACAUCUUCAAUCGACACUUGUGACUGGCUCUUCAUUGUUAACUCUUAACUGAAACUACUAGUCUCAAAAACAUAAGAAAUACAACAAAAUGGCACUCCAGCCAAUCCAAAACAACACCACAGAAUGACUUUAACUAAUGCCCCCUCCUAUUCUUUUACUACAUAGUGAUAAUGAUAACAUAUUAUCCAUACUGUCCAUGGAAGGUAAUAGGUAGUAAUCUUUCUUGGUGGCCUCAUUAAGUCUUUGAAAAUCCUGACAAAUUUGGAUUUUUCCGUUCUUUUUUGGUACCAUCACAAUUGAAAAAACCUACUUGCUAUUCAAUAUUGGGUAAAUAAAACCAACCGCAAGAAACUUGUCUAAUUUCUUCUUCACCAUGAGGGAAUGUUUAGGAUUAUGGCGAUGUUGUCUUUGUUGAACUUAUUUAGCAUUCUCCUCUAAAAUGAUAUGAUGCUCACAAAUGUCAAUGGAAAUAUCCUUUAAAUCAGCAUAAGUCCAAGCAAAAGCAGACUUAUGAUGUAAGAAAAAUUCUGUCUAGCAGGUCAACUCUUGUUCCUUAAUACCUUCGUAGACCUUAAUUGUCUAAGGCUCUCCUGUGGUUGCCAAGUUGAUAGUUUGACAUAAAGGUGCAGUGGCGAUAUUCUGAUUCAAUCCUCACAUAGAUUAAAAAUCAAUCGAUAAGUCUGACAUGUGCAAAGUACUGAAUCUUGUGUCCAAGGUAUUAACAUGGUGUACAUCAUACUUGGUUAUCCAAUCAAUAUUAACAUAAUUGGAGCUUUCCGAAUCUAUCGAGUAUAUCAAGUACUCCUCCAGACCUCUACAUUGAUACACCACUCCACACUGUUGGGUUGCCUCCAUGGACACCUCUGUAAUCAGUGUAACUGCAUCAUCAUUGGAGCUAAGCUCAUCAUCCGAUGUCAAUUUAGAAGUUUGCAAUUGAGACUCUCCAUGAUAGCGUACUGGAUACAUUUGUAAUACUAUUUUAUUGCCGCCCUUACCAAUUGUCAAAGUACUUGAUUCUAAUCGUUCCUAGCCUUCGCUUCAUAAAGCCAGGGUCAUCUCAAUAAAAUUGAAUAUAAUAAAAUCAAAUGUUGUAGCCGAAAGACAAUAUAGUCAAUUACAUAUGCAAUACCAAUAAUUAUAGUUUGAACACUCCAUAAAAUAUCUAUUGGUUUAACCUAGCUAUGAUUUGCCAUCCAUAAUACCAAUAUUGUGGAUAUUAAGUGUUCCAAAUCUAUAACAUCCAUUGUAUCAACAUUCAUUAAAUUGACGCUGGAACCACCAUCUACUUGAAUACCAAAGAUCAUGACAUUGUCAAUCAAAACAUCGAUGGUUGGUGCACUUGGAUCAGGGUUCAAACUGACUUCACUUACUUCCUUAUUACAUUGUAGAUGUCAUAUUAAUGAUGAAUUCAAUGUAGAAUGGCACUCUAGUGCGACCGCUAGAAGUUACUUCAUAGAAAUAGAAGGUAGAAUAGCAUCUUGAUCCUUCAAUAUGUCAUAGGAUUCCAUAUUUAGGAUAAUGUCCAAUGCCCUCUUUCUUUUCAUUGGUUGGAGUUUAACUCCAAGAGGUAAGAUAUUCUUCUGCGUUGGACUCGAAAAUGAAAUAGUAGACGGAGCUUCUUUAGAAUUCAUGCCUCUUAGAAGAUCUUUCAAUGGAAAGGACGUUUCUCGAAAUUGUGUAGAGAACGGAACAGCUUGAAACGAAAUCAAAGACUCUGUAAUCAAGACCUCAUUAGGUUGCACAACCGAUUCAGGUCUCAUACUGGAUAAGAGGCCCAUAACAAGACCUGGAUUGGAUGUUUCCAUAAUAGGGUCAAAUUGGUCCUUUGCAUCAAGCUCACCCAAAUGCUGAAUUGAUCCUUUCCCCUUUUGUUGACUCUUGAUAAGAACGGCUUGGACACAUUCCAAUCUAUUUAUCAGAAAAUCUUAAAGACCUUGAUUUAUCUCCUCCAUUUUUUCUUGGUUUUAGAUCUGCUGAUCCCGAUUAUUGAAAUUGAACGGAGCAUUACAUUGCUGAUAAGUAUGCUCCAACUGCUUGCAAUUCCCACAAACUAACACAUAAUCGUCACUGGCUCUGGGAUUGAGAUAUUUACUGGCAUAAUGAUGAAUUUAUCUACAACGGAAACAACGAAGUCGUCUUCUUGCAAUCCCAUCUGGCAUAUUGGGUGUCUCCACCGGUAUAUACUUACUAGGCUUGUUCCAUAUAGGCUUAGAAAAUGAUCUUAGUUGUCCCGUUGGAAUGGAGGGAACUUGGUUUGAUGAUGCUGGAGGAGCAUAUUGAUGAUAUCUCUGCUGCUCUUUUUUGUAGUACUAAAGGGUUUGAUGCAGACCUCUGAUUAAAAUUGGAACUUUGAAAGUUAUUGAAUGCUUGAUUUUGCCGAUUAGAUCGCUUUCCAUUCCAUCCAAAUGUAUUUUCCGAUUGAACUUGAUUGACGUCCCAAUGAGUUGGUAGAAUCAUGGUCUGAUUACUGAAUUAUUGUUACCUUUGCAAAUUCCAAUAAUUAGCUGUUAAGUGCUUUCUUUCGUAAAAUGUACAUUGAUCUAUUAUUUGUGAGGAUAAAGGGCAUUCUAUUACCAAAUGACCGUGGCCCUUACAAUUAUUCUACCGAACAUUGGUCCUAGUAUUGGUAGGCUUUUGCCUCUUCUCCUUAUCCUUCGCCAUAUUGAUGGCCAUUUCCUCCAUUUUCUUCGUCAGGUUCAACAACAAGACUUCAUUGAAAUCAUUUGAGGCUGAUAUUAUUGAUCAAUCUAUCGCACUUAACGCUUGUUGUUGAUACAGAAAAUAGAGAGCAUAUGCUGCUGUCUUGUUCGGUGGUAUAGCUUGCAAUGGGGUGAUAUUAAUUGGCCCCUAAAUAUUGGCACUAGAAUUGGCCAUUGUUUCUAACCUCCAUUAUUAACUACCGAUUGAUCUGUUCCAAGUCAAAUUUUGAUAACUGCCUUGAAUUGGAAUCAUCGUAGCUCCCGUAGUUAAAAACUGAUGAUAACAGCAUUCCUCCCAAACCUUGGCUCUAUUAAGGGAUGUAGACACCGUAACGAAUUGAGCUUCCUUCAUAAACAUUUUUAAUUUUGGUGGUUGCAAACUAUUCAUUAAUAUAGAUAAGAUAAAUACCUCCGACAUUUGGUGAUUCGACCACUUACUGAGUAUAUCAGCCACCCAGCCAUAAUACGAUUCCAUCGCCUCUCUUACGAUCAUUUUGCUGUUCAUUAACCUCUCUCGAAGACGAUCCUCAAAACCUAUUGGUCGAAAAUGGAUUAAAAAUGCAUUCUUCAAUGCUUUCCAAUUGAGAAAUUGAUCCACUACUUGGCAGUUGUAUCAUUCAAAGACCAUGUCCUUUAAGGUUGUUGGCAACCAUCAUAACCAAAUAUCUUCUGUUCUUCUAUUAUUGGCUACACAUGCUGUCAAAAAUUGAGAUAAAUAUUGAUCGGGAUCUGUAUCCAGAAAGCCCCUAAAAAUAGGUAAUGGAGCCAUCCUCAUUGUGCGAUCACUCAUAUCAUCCAUUUGUACUGCUAUUGGAACCACUGGACCAUCCGUCGCCAUUGAAGAUGACAAUGUGCUGCUUAAUCUCUUAUUAAAAUUACCAUUGCCUUUCCCAAUUAUCUUUUCUAGACUUUUCAACCUCCUCAAUUUACUAUUAUUAUCCCUGAAUAAGUUUAUUAGUUGAAUUGGAGGUAAAAACGAUGAAUUUUGAAAUAUACUGAAUUAGCCCUUAUUGGCAAGCAAUUUAUGCCAUUCUAUGGAACCAAUUUUUACAAAAUCGGUAGUUUCCGCUAUCAGGAAGGUAUCCAACAGAGUACUCAAUUCUUCUGUGUUUCUUCCACUUGCAGUUAACGAGUUCAAGAGAUAUGCUGGGCUAUUGACAAAAUUUCUUAUGAGUGCUUUUGGUAAUUUUCUUAACGGUAUACAUGUCUGAAAUAUUAGAGAUUGGUAAGCUUCUGAGUAUGCUUGGAUAUGUCGACAAACAUGCAACCAUGGCUUAAUCCAACUUAGUCAAUGCUUCCUUUUUAACUUAUGUUCUUGCUCAUUUUGCAAUGAUUCUCUUUCUUGCGCUCUCUCUUGUCUUUCUUUUGACUGGUGUGUUUUCUUUACUACAAUGUUCUCAUUCUUAAGAACCAUAAUCUUUCAUUAUAUACUACUGAAUUUACUUCUUAUUUCCUAUCUACUCAUUUGGUAGAUAAUUUCUAAUACUCAAUAUUAUUGUCAAUCCCAAGCAGCAACACCAAAAUAUAAUUGUCGUUUUACUAAUUCUACAAAUUCUUUUCAGAAUAAACCUAUAUAGAGAAAUUCGAACUCAGAGAAAGAUUAAGUGCAUGAGCUUACAAGUUAGAGUCACUCAAUUAAUUGUAUUCCGAACCACUAAAAUACUAAGAAACACUACAAUGCUUUCUUCCAUUAAUAAUACUUCUUCAUCAACUAAUAACAAUAGUGUGCAACCCUGCACUCUUAAAAGACUGCUCAAAACUCAUAAAUUCCAUCUAACACCAGAAAUAACAGACUUCACUCCAACUAAUCUGGAUUCACAGAAUUUCUAUAAUCAUAGACUCCCUCUGUCCAAAACUUAUACAACACUCAAUAAAAAACAAUCAUAAUCUUCCAUCUAUAAUCAAUCUUUCAAUAACUUCUCAUAUAAUUCAAUCACAUAAUACUCUAAUUACAUAAUCAAUAACUCAUAAAUCAAUCUCUGAUUUAUUCCACAAACUCACUUCUCAAUAUUCAAAAACUAUCCAUUACUCUUCAACAACAAAGAAAACAAAGAAAACAAAGAGGUAAUACCAAGCUUAACCCCGGCUCAUGACUAUCACAAUCUGGCCCACCAACAAACUUCUACAACUCCUAUAUAAUUGCUAUUGAUUUCCA
rnacentral:lncRNA from 1 species